CAUUAUUUCUCUUGUACAAGUGUUCAUAGCCUCCCAGUUCCUCAUUCUUCUCUUAUAAGCUUCAAUAUCAUCCCAGUUUACAGGCAAUAUAAGAUUCUUCACCUCAAUUUUCUUUCCUUACAAGCUUUAUUAGUGGUAUAGUUCCCAAUCAUUACGUACAGAAACUCCACAUUAUUUCUCUCGUCCAAGGUUUCGUAGCACCCCAGAUCACAGUCGAGUUUUGCCGCAAGGAAGGGAAGGCGCCGGAAAGGGUUCGCUGGCGUGGAGGUUGUCUCGGUGUUAGCGGUAAUAGUCUUAAGAGGUGUGUCGUCGUUGCAAACCCGCUCCCACUUGUCCUGGGUCGUCCAAAUGUCUGUCUGUCUGUCCACGUGUCGUCGCAAACUUGUCAUACUUCUCCUCUCGUGUCAUGACUCACAGGGACGUUUCACAAGUCCUAUCCGAGAAGUUACGUGUUCCUUCAGAUUUAUUUAUCCUGGGCUCUGUAGGGUCUGUCUGUGUGUCAUCCUGAACUUGUCAUACUUCUCCUCUAACGUCAUGACUCACAGGGACGUUUUACAAGUCCUAUCCGAGAAGUUACGUGUCCCUUCAGAGUUAUUCAUCCUGGGCUCUGUAGGGACCCGAAACUUCCCAGAUUGGACUUGUAACACGGGCCUUGGUUUUGACGCCGUUCCUCAUGUAGGUGUUUCCAAUGAUACUUUUGUUCCUAUUUGCUGUUUGUGUGAUGUUUUGGGGUCACUUAAUUUGUACAUUGACUCUUGGGGUAUGUGUCGGAAGCUUAGCAUUGUGUCUCUCCCAUCAAAGAAAAUAUAUAUAAGCCCUAACUUAAGAAUUUCAUGAAGGAAUGCGAACCUUGCCUCUGCACAUAAAAAAAGUUAGACGCCCAUGAAAAGAAGAAAAGGUAAAUGAUAAUGGAAAGUAAAUAUGCCGAGCCUCGUAGCCGUGUUCGGUGCUGGGGAGGCGAGGAGAGUCUUGUGUGCGAGUGUGUGGGAGAGCAGAGGGAGUUAGUUAGACACGGUAAUACAAACUGUCGUUCUUUUUCUUUUCUUUCUUUUCUUUUUGUCAGAGAGAAAAAGAAAAUGUCGAAAGGAGAAAGAGAAAAAAAUUAUAAUCGAGAGUGAAGUCUAGGAUUUAAUGAAGGCAAGGCAGAAUAAUACAAGCUGUCCUUCUUUUUCUUUUCUUCCUUUUCUUUCUUUCCUUUUUGUUAGAGAGAGAAA